rnacentral:rRNA from 1 species
CAGUAGCCGCGGGAAUACGAAGGGGGCUAGCGUUGCUCGGAAUGACUGGGCGUAAAGCGUGCGCGGGCGGUUAUAUAAGACAGAUGUGAAAUCCCCGGGCUCAACCUGGGACCUGCAUUUGUGACUGUAUAGCUAGAGUACGGUAGAGGGGGAUGGGAUUCCGCGUGUAGCAGUGAAAUGCGUAGAUAUGCGGAGGAACACCGAUGGCGAAGGCAAUCCCCUGGACCUGUACUGACGCUCAUGCACGAAAGCGUGGGGAGCAAACAGGAUUAGAUACCCGCGUAGUCCCUGUCUCUUAUAC